GGAGGCGUGCCAGAGCGGUUGAAUGGGACAGUCUUGAAAACUGUUAGGCCCUUUAAAAGGUCUCAGAGGUUCGAAUCCUCUCGCCUCCGCCA
rnacentral:tRNA from 1 species